AUUGAACGCUGGCGGCAUGCUUUACACAUGCAAGUCGAACGGCAGCGCGGGGGCAACCCUGGCGGCGAGUGGCGAACGGGUGAGUAAUGUAUCGGAACGUAUCCUGUAAUGGGGGAUAACCAGUCGAAAGAUUGGGUAAUACCGCAUACGCACGAGAGUGGAAAGUAGGGGAUCGCAAGACCUUACGUUAUAGGAGCGGCCGAUAUCUGAUUAGCUAGUUGGUGGGGUAAAGGCCUACCAAGGCGACGAUCAGUAGCUGGUCUGAGAGGAUGAUCAGCCACACUGGAACUGAGACACGGUCCAGACUCCUACGGGAGGCAGCAGUGAGGAAUAUUGCGCAAUGGGGGCAACCCUGACGCAGCAACGCCGCGUGAGUGAGGAAGGUUUUCGGACUGUAAAGCUCUGUCGAGCGGGAAGAAGUGUACCAUGGCUAAUAUCCAUGAUAUUUGACGGUACCGCUAGAGGAAGCACCGGCUAACUCCGUG
rnacentral:rRNA from 1 species